UAUUUAUGUUGUAUUGUAUUUCCAUAUUAUCUAUUCAUCUAUGUAUUUGUCCUUUCUUCCUUUAUUUUUAUUUGAUGAUCUAGUAUAUAUAUCUUUUCCCUUGUUCUACUUAUAUGUGAUAUAAUUCAUACUUGUGUUCUAUCUUGGUGUGUUGUUGCAAUGUAUAUAAUAUAUAGAAUUGUUAGUGAAAGCUGUAUGGGCUACCGUUGUGGGACUUUUUUUGAUUGCAGGUGACGUGCCCUUAUUGUGAAUUAUGCUUUAUUUUCUACUUUGCUCGAUCGGCCUAUGGUACCUUUAUGAUUACAAGUGGAUAGUACUCACUCCAACUUCAACCUUUCGGUGUAGCUUUAGGUUCAGGUGUACCUCAGAUUGGUUGAUUUUGGGCGCCUUCAGAUAUUUCAAGGUAGCGAUUGUACAUUCAUAUGUCUAAAGUUCACCUCUAUUUGUUUGUAUUAGUUAUGUCUUUAUUAGUAUUCUGUGACAAAUAUUAUUCAUUUGUGGUUAUUUUUUGAUUUAUUUAACUCAUGUUUGCAUUAGUAGUUUUUAUACAGUUGACACUAGGUUUUGGGAG
rnacentral:lncRNA from 1 species